rnacentral:rRNA from 1 species
UACAGGGGGGCAAGCGUUGUUCGGAAUUACUGGGCGUAAAGGGUUCGUAGGUGGCUUACUAAGUCAGACGUGAAAUCCCUCGGCUUAACCGGGGAACUGCAUCUGAUACUGGAUGGCUUGAGAUUGGGAGAGGGAUGCGGAAUUCCAGGUGUAGCGGUGAAAUGCGUAGAUAUCUGGAGGAACACCGGUGGCGAAGGCGGCAUCCUGGACCAACACUGACGCUGAGGAGCGAAAGCCAGGGGAGCAAACGGG